CCAAACGCCAGUCAAAAACGCAAGGUGCUCAGACUUCCUGCAUCUGUUAGGCUAUCCACAGUGUCAUGUAUUUAUCUGACAUGUUUUCCCAUCACCUCUGACAACAGGGCGACUUUACUCGUAGACUUUAAUUUGUCACCGACUGAGCGUUGAACACUAGGCGGGUCGAUGUCCAAAGACAACCGCCAUGAUGGACGGCGGCGCGGAGCUGGGCAGCACCGUCUCGGCCCAAGAGUUAGCAACCAAGGCGGGGACGGGAGGGAAAGGUCUGGUAGCAACAGCUCAGGCUCCUCGCAUGGAGGUGGCAAAAGCAAGAAUGCAUCCAUAACUGCUUUGAAGGCUUCAUUUCAGCGCUCCAACAGCCAUGACAAAGUGCGAAAGAUAGUUGCUGAAGAGGGCCGUGCUGCUCGAAACCUCAUUGCCUGGAGCGUCCCUCUAGAGAGCAAAGAGGAGGAAGCAAAGUCCAAAGGCAACUCCAGUGGCAGUUCCAGGUCUCAGAGAAUCAAUUCGGGACAACAAAGGAAUAAAAAGCAGAAUGCUGCCGUGGAAAAUAAAGGCACAGCUGGAGCUUUGCUGGAAAAGGGGCCAGAGAAGAGCCCCACAAAAGUCAGACAGCCCCGAAAGGUGGACCUGCGAGCGCGCUACUGGGCAUUCCUCUUUGACAACCUGCGUCGGGCUGUGGAUGAGAUUUACGUCACUUGUGAAUCUGAUCAGAGCGUCUUAGAAUGCAAGGAGGUGUUGAUGAUGCUGGACAACUAUGUACGGGACUUCAAAGCUCUCAUAGACUGGAUCAACCUUCAGGAGAAGUUGGAGAAAACAGAUGCUCAGAACAGGCCAACUUCUUUAGCCUGGGAGGUGCGUAAGAUGUCUCCGGGACGCCAUGUGAUGCCAAGCCCCACAGACAGAAUGGUACCUACGCCAGGUGCACGUCGCGCCCUCAACUUUGGUGGUCCUCCUGCAACCAGGCACUCUCACACAGGCCCCAGCUGGGCAGACCGAGUAAAGUGCACUCAGUCCGUCCUUGGCUCCUGUCAACCCACAACAUCCCAGGCAGAAAAACCUGGUAAAAAGGACGCAGAAGGCUGGGAAACGGUACAGCGAGGACGCACUGCCAAACCUCGCUCUGCCGCCAUGAUUGCCAAGGUCAGUCCUGUCUUGGCUAGCGUCACCCCAAAACAGGACAACAAUAAGAGUAACCAGUCGCGUGUGCCACCACAAGCAAAUGAGCAACUCCGUCCCGAGUGUCCCCGCCACAAGGACGUGAGUCAGACAGACACCAAGCAGCAAAUCCCUUCGGAGCCUGAGCCACAAGAGGAGGUUGAAGGUCCAGAGAAUGGACAAAUAAUGGAGCCCCCAGCAGAGAGUGCACAAGGCUCGGGGCAGUGUGUCGACGCACCCUGUGAAGACGUGCCUCCCACCAUAGCAGCCCUUACCCCAUUCCAACCCCCAGAGCACACCCCAUCCAUAACCUCACCAACAGACAUUACCUUAUCAGUCCCAGUUUCUGUCGUGACCCUCGCCACAUCACUAGAUCUACCCCAGACGGAUGGCCUCAGUACACAGUUGGCCUUUGGGGACAGUGGGGCUGAGGGGGGCACGUCACAGGGCAUGGCCACAUCUGCUGCAGGACAGGCUGAGACUCCCAUGGCAGCGGUGAAACUGGAGAGUGUGCUGGACCCCACAGAGCUUUCUACUCCCCAGUCUAUGGCAGAGGUCCUGGCCAAGAAAGAGGAGCUGGCAGACCGGCUGGAGAAGGCUAACGAAGAGGCAAUCGCUAGUGCCAUUGCUGAGGAGGAGCAGUUGACGAGAGAGAUUCAGGCUGAGAACAAUGACCUGGAGACUGACAAUGAAAGUGACUUCUCUGCCAGCAUCGGUAAUGGAAGCUGUGGAGCUAAUAUAGAUUGGAAUGACAUGCUGGCGGAUUACGAUGCUCGGGAACCAUGGCGGCAGACUACAUCAUGGGGCGACAUGGUAGAGGAAGAGCCCGCUCGGCCUCCUGGACAUGGCAUCCACAUGCAUGAGAAAUUGUCCUCACCGUCACGUAAAAGGACCAUUGCAGAGUCAAAGAAGAAACAUGAGGAGAAACAGCUGAAGGCGCAGCAGCUGAGGGACAAACUCAGAGAAGAAAAGACGCUCAAGCUGCAGAAGCUGUUGGAGAGGGAAAAAGAUGUGAGGAAAUGGAAAGAGGAGUUGUUGGAGCAGCGGCGGAGGAUGAUGGAGGAAAAACUGUUGCACGCCGAGUUUAAGAGGGAGCUGCAACUGCAGGCUAUUGUGAAGAAAGCUCAAGAAGAGGAGGCCAAGGUGAAUGAAAUUGCUUUCAUCAACACCCUGGAAGCCCAAAAUAAAAGGCACGAUGCCCUUGCCAAGUUAAGUGAAUAUGAGCAACGACUUAAUGAACUGCAAGAAGAGAGACAAAGGAGGCAGGAGGAGAAGCAGGCCAGAGAUGAGGCUGUGCAGGAGCGUAAGCGGGUCCUGGAAGCAGAGCGACAGGCAAGAGUGGAGGAGCUGCUGAUGAAGAGGAAGGAGCAGGAGGCUCGUAUUGAACAGCAGAGGCAGGAAAAGGAGAAAGCCCGAGAGGAUGCAGCACGGGAAAGAGCGAGAGACCGAGAGGAGCGUCUGGCUGCUCUCAGCGCUGCUCAACAAGAAGCCAUGGAGGAGCUGCAGAAGAAAAUUCAGAUGAAGCAUGAUGAGAGCAGCCGCAGGCAUAUGGAGCAAAUCGAACAGAGGAAAGAAAAGGCUGCUGAGCUCAGCAGUGGUCGACAUGCUAACACAGACUACGCACCUAAACUGACACCAUAUGAGCGCAAGAAACAGUGUUCACUGUGUGGAGUUGUGAUAACCUCAGAGGUGCACCUGUUCAGCCACACCAAGGGCAAGAGGCACCAACAGGCCGUGCGAGACAGCAGCAGCAUCCAGGGACGGGAGCUCUCCGAUGAGGAAGUGGAGCAUCUUUCCUUAAAAAAAUACAUUGUGGAUAUUUUGACGGACAGCUCUGUUUCUUCGGAAAGCGUGAAGGAUGGAGAAGAGCGGCAGAAGGCACGAAAGAAGGCCAAAAAGCUCCGCGCCAGGAUGAACUCCAGAGCAAAGGAAUAUGAGACAUCAAUGGAGGCAAAGACUCAGGUCCCUGACUCCCCAUACAAGGCCAAGUUGCAGCGGUUGGUGAAAGACCUGUUGAAGCAGUUGCAGGGCCAAGAUAGCGGGCAGUGGGCCAACAACAAGGUGUCUGGUCUGGACCGAACUCUGGGAGAGAUCUCACGCAUCUUGGAGAAGCAGAAUAAUGCAGACCAAGUGGCCUUCCAAGUAGGCGGUGGCCUGUCUGCUCUGGAACAAAUUUUACAGGUCAUCACUGCUGCUUCCACACCCACCGCAGUUCCCCGCAUUCCUCUCAAAUCCCUCUGUUCUGCUGUAAAUAUCUACAACCUGGCAUGCUCCUGCUGCGCGCUCAACUGCUCCUAUGUGCUGUUUAGCAACAAGAUAGUCCUCCUUAUGGACCUGCUGCUGCAUCAGCUAACACUCUACGUCCCUGAUGAGGACAAGUCCAUUUUUGGGCGCAGUGUAAACAAACAAGUCUUUGAGGGUUUGACGACAGGCCUUCUUCAGACCAUUUCUACCAUCCUGGGGUCCCUGUGGCCUCAUAUCUCUGACUCUGGGCAAGGUGAAAACACGUGCAUUUCCUCCCAAGAUGCCAAGGUCAAGAGCUCUGCCGCAGAGUCCUUCAACACUCGCACACAAGAUCUAAUCAGCUAUGUGGUAAACAUGGGGUUGAUUGACAAGCUGUACGGCUGCUUCUUGUCAGUCCAAGGUCCUGUAGAUGAGCAGCCCAAGAUGUCAGCCUUUCUCCAGCAAGCCUCGGCUCUGCUGCACAGCAUGUGCAAGCUGUGCUUUGUCGUAACUGGACGGAUCCAUAAAAACGGCUCUCUUUGUUACUCAAACAAAUCUGUCGUUCCUCUGCAAUCAGCCAGCAGGUCAUUCACUCCAGUCAGCAAGCUGGCUAAGCUGUCGUUAUUGAAGAUGGAGAUAGGCAUCUACUUGACCCAGUGCUCUGUCACUCACCAUAAACCUUAGCCUGCAGUGGAGGGGGAGCCCACCCACAUGUGCUACGGUGACCUCUACUCAAAGAGAUUCAGUGGCGCCGCUGACGGAGGCUAAGCAUACUAUCACACCAAGGGACAUCAGUGCCACAGUUUUUGACUUUAAAGGGAAAAGGGGGACCGUAAUAACAGAAAUAUCAGAAUAAUAUUCAAAAUGACAUUUUAAAUGCAAUUUGACAUCCCAAAGUAAGUAGCAGUGUUGUCUAAACAAACUUAACAUUUUCAGUGUCAGACACUGUGUUGCUAUACCUUGCCAGCUAUAAUGUGCUGCAGUAUUAAUAACCAGUUGCUUCACACUGCAGUGCCAAAGAACAGCUAGAACUCUGGAUGACACUGAAUAUUUGUGAGAAAACGGUGUUUAAUGACACUAAAAGCAGCAACCGGUGAGCUCUGUCCCGCGACGGCUAUCUGUGUGUCAUGCAGAAGAGUGCUCAUGGGGUAGUGGGAUAUUUGUGCCAUGCCAGUUGCUGUGUCAGGGGAUUAUAAUGGCAUUACGAGGCUGUGUUCUUGCCUAGCAGCAUAUUUCACACAAAGCCUGUUGGCUAACAUCAAGUAUCAGCAUGCACUGUAGGUUCCAUCCAAAGGUCACACACCCUCCAUUCUGCAUGGCUGCAAAUCAUAGCGGGUGCUGCUGCAGGAGUCUUAAAUUGUCUCUGUGCGAGCCUAGGGUUUUCACUGGAGUCAUCCGCAUUGCAACGGAGACUCUUGAAAAACAUUACUGCAGUAAUUACUUUUCUUUUUUUCAUUUUAAAGAUUGCAGUAAUUUUGAUGCUUAUCUCCUGUAGUGGGUUCUCAAGUCAAGUCUCAGAUUGGGUUUUAUGACGUUUUUACUUUUAAAAACCUAAACUAACAAACUGUUUAAUUCUUAUGAUGCUUUUGUCCUGCUUUGAUCUACUUGCCUGCCUGCCAAGAUUAUCUUGUAAUUUUAUUUUUUUAAAUUUAUUUUUAUAUUAAAUGCAAGUAUUACAAAAGCAGUGCGUUGCCAGUCCCCUUAACCAACACGGUAACGUCUUUGCUGAGCCAAACAAACCCGAGACAGACUCUGAGUAAAUGUACUAGAGCGCUCAGCACCUUGUCAGCCAACUCACUGCAGUCUACCAGCUUGAAAUCACUGCCAUGAGCUUCACAUCGCGGUAUUGCUGUGUUUACUGUAGGAGGAGUGCGAGGGAAAGGGCUAAUCUUGAGUCUUGAAGGUCCCCCUCCUUAGCUAAUCUGGCUGUCAGUUUAUGGUACUUAUUAAGUCAAAAAUGAAGCAGCUUGGAAGCUUCUUGCAUGCAACAAAAUGAAAAAGUGUUAUUCCAUGAAUAAACCAGAGGCACACAAAUGGCAGGAGAUGAACUUGAGAGCUGCCGUGUGAUCCAACCGGGUAAUAUACAGCACAUUUCAAACUUGGUGCUCUUCCACUCGCCCCAGUCAGGUAAUCCAGCAGCGUUAACAGCGUAGUAUCUCUUAUCUAAAGGAAAAUCUUUUUUAAGCUUGUGUCUGGUGAGUAAAUCAAGAAGCUGCCGAGGUCUGAGCUGUGUUUUGUCUCCUUAGUUUGGGGAUGUGGCAUCAGCUGCAGAAAAGAGCAAAAUAUUUAAAGUAUUGUGUAAUGUGUUCCAGUAUGAUUGUCGUUCUAUUUGUCAGUGUUCUUCCCCAUCGAUUUAUUUUAGUUUUGUGUUUUUGUAUUUUUGUUUCUGAGCAUACAGUUGCAUGUCUUCCUCUUUAGUGCUCCCAGUAUAUUCGACAAUAAACGCCAGGACCCAACUGGACUGACGGCACUCUUGCAGUCGACAGACUUGGUAGGGGUGGUGCACACCCUGUAUUGUAUCCUGCUUCACAGUUUCUUGCCAGAGUCUGCUUGCCAGAGUCAGGAGCCCUACGGCCCUGGGGUCAUCCAGGUGGCUUUACAAGGCAUCCGCUUCCUCAACAGUUUUGCCCUUCUUGACCUGUCUGCCUUCCAGUCCGUUCUAGGGGCAGAGGGCCUGUCUCUAGCUUUCCGACACAUCGUCAGCUCCCUGCUCUGGUACUGUACCCAGCAAUCAUCUGAAGAGCUGCUGCACGAAGUCAUCAUCUGUGUGGGAUACUUCACCGUUAACCAUCCCGACAACCAG